rfam:Triticum aestivum genome assembly, contig: Triticum_aestivum_CS42_TGACv1_scaffold_220842_3B
CAACUACUCCCUCUAUCCAAAUUUCUUGUCUUAGAUUUGUCUAGAUACGGAUGUAUCUAAUACUAAAAUGUGACUUGAUACAUCUGUAUCUAGAAAAAACUAAGAGAAGAAUUUUGGGACGGAGGGAGUAUUUU